rnacentral:rRNA from 1 species
CAAUAGCGUAUAUUAAAGUUGUUGCAGUUAAAAAGCUCGUAGUUGGAUUUGUGGCGUACGGUGUGUUCCGGGCACUUGUUGUCUGAGUAACCUGCUGUUGCCAUCCUUGGGUGGAACCUGUGUGGCAUUAGGUUGUCGUGCAGGGGAUGCCCAUCAUUUACUGUGAAAAAAUUAGAGUGUUCAAAGCAGGCUUAUGCCGUUGAAUAUAUUAGCAUGGAAUAAUGAGAUAGGACUUUUUCGCUAUUUUGUUGGUUUGCGCAAAGAGGUAAUGAUUAAUAGGGACAGUUGGGGGUAUUCGUAUUCCAUUGUCAGAGGUGAAAUUCUUGGAUUUUUGGAAGACGAACUACUGCGAAAGCAUUUACCAAGGAUGUUUUCAUUAA